GGCUGCCUUACCCAUGCAAGUCGAACGGCAGCAUGAUCUAGCUUGCUAGAUUGAUGGCGAGUGGCGAACGGGUGAGUAAUACAUCGGAACGUGCCCUGUAGUGGGGGAUAACUAGUCGAAAGAUUAGCUAAUACCGCAUACGACCUGAGGGUGAAAGUGGGGGACCGCAAGGCCUCAUGCUAUAGGAGCGGCCGAUGUCUGAUUAGCUAGUUGGUGGGGUAAAGGCCCACCAAGGCGACGAUCAGUAGCUGGUCUGAGAGGACGAUCAGCCACACUGGGACUGAGACACGGCCCAGACUCCUACGGGAGGCAGCAGUGGGGAAUUUUGGACAAUGGGGGCAACCCUGAUCCAGCAAUGCCGCGUGUGUGAAGAAGGCCUUCGGGUUGUAAAGCACUUUUGUCCGGAAAGAAAUCGCACUUACUAAUAUUAGGUGUGGAUGACGGUACCGGAAGAAUAAGGACCGGCUAACUACGUGCCAGCAGCCGCGGUAAUACGUAGGGUCCAAGCGUUAAUCGGAAUUACUGGGCGUAAAGCGUGCGCAGGCGGUUGUGCAAGACCGAUGUGAAAUCCCCGGGCUUAACCUGGGAAUUGCAUUGCAGACU
rnacentral:rRNA from 1 species